rnacentral:rRNA from 1 species
ACUCCUGCGGGAGGCAGCAGUGAGGAAUAUUGGACAAUGGGUGGAAGCCUGAUCCAGCCAUCCCGCGUGCAGGAAGACGGCCCUAUGGGUUGUAAACUGCUUUUAUCUGGGGAUAAACCUACUUACGUGUAAGUAGCUGAAGGUACCAGAAGAAUAAGCACCGGCUAACUCCGUGCCAGCAGCCGCGGUAAUACGGAGGGUGCAAGCGUUAUCCGGAUUUAUUGGGUUUAAAGGGUCCGUAGGCGGACUGAUAAGUCAGUGGUGAAAUCCGACAGCUUAACUGUCGAACUGCCAUUGAUACUGUUAGUCUUGAGUAAGGUUGAAGUGGCUGGAAUAAGUAGUGUAGCGGUGAAAUGCAUAGAUAUUACUUAGAACACCAAUUGCGAAGGCAGGUCACUAAGUCUUAACUGACGCUGAUGGACGAAAGCGUGGGGAGCGAACAGGAUUAGAAACCCCAGUAGUCCCAUGA